UACGGAGGGUGCAUGCGUUGUCCAGAUUUAUUGGGCGUAAAGAGCGUGUAGGCGGCCAAGCAGGUCCGCUGUGAAAACUCGAGGCUCAACCUCGAGAUGUCGGUGGAAACCGUUUGGCUAGAGUCCGGAAGAGGAGAGUGGAAUUCCCGGUGUAGCGGUGAAAUGCGCAGAUAUCGGGAAGAACACCCGUGGCGAAGGCGGCUCUCUGGGACGGUACUGACGCUGAGACGCGAAAGCGUGGGGAGCGAACAGG
rnacentral:rRNA from 1 species